UCCAGAAGGGCCUCCGGGGCAGAGAAAGGCGAAUCGGAUCCGCACCUCUUUGGCCGAUCGCUUGUAAAACUGCAAAGAAAGCAGGCCCCGCGAUUCUGCAGAUGGUAAAGACAAAGCGGAUCCCCGCUGUCAGCCAGAUGUUCAGACCGGGUUUGGCAUUGUUGUCUACCUAUUGAGUCCUUACCAAGGACUGGAUAUUUGACGAUGUUAGUUAUCGUUGCAGGAUGGAAGCAGUUCCAAGUAAAGCCGCCUUCUGCAAUUGACUGAUGGCAAAUUUGUCAAUGCCUAUGGUGUUCAAGUGGUGCUCCAGUUAUUUUGGGAUUCCACCCAAGGCGCCUAUUGCUAUUGGUACUAUCCUUGCAUGCUUUUGCCAUAGUCGUUCUAUUUCUGUUUGUAGGUCUUUGUAUUUUGUUCUUUCUCUUCUAUUCUGCUGUCUCCAGCCACUGCCUCAUCCACUAUCCAGACUUUUUUGUCUUUCUUAUCGAUAACUGUUAAGUCCAGGGUGUUAUGUGGCAGGUGCCUGCCUGUCUGAAUUCUGAAGUCCAAGAACAAUUUAACUUCUUCAUUUCCUGUGACUUCUGUUUUAUGGUCCCACCAGUUUUUGCUUACAGGCAAAUAAUAUUUCCUGCAGAUCUUCCAAUGCACCAUUGUUGCUACUUUGUCGUGCCACUGUUUGUAUUGUUGUUGUUGUUUAUUGUUAUUAUUAUUAAAAAAGGCAUGCAUGGCCCUGUCUGUGGUAUGCUUAAUAUGAA